rnacentral:lncRNA from 1 species
CAAAGAGUUCUGGAGAGGUUGGAACGCGUCCCCGCUCCAGUGCGCAGAGCUGCAGCUAGGAUCUGCGUGGGGAUUCGGGGACAACUCCUCUAGGUGCUCGCUCGCUCGGGGACCCUCGCUCCCAGCAUGCCUCAGGCAUGAAAGCUACUACCUCAAGACAUAAGAGUUUGACAUUGCCGAUGUCUCUUCUUGGUACCCAAGGCCACAGAUUUUCCAAGUGGGACACAGAGACCUCAACUUGUUGAGUUAGAAG